UACAUCUCCUGUGUUGGUGAAUAGUGCAUU
rnacentral:piRNA from 1 species